CAGUAGCCACGGUAAUACGUAGGGUGCAAGCGUUAAUCGGAAUUACUGGGUUUAAAGGGUCCGUAGGCGGACUUAUAAGUCAGUGGUGAAAGCCUGUCGCUUAACGAUAGAACUGCCAUUGAUACUGUAAGUCUUGAGUAUAUUUGAGGUAGCUGGAAUAAGUAGUGUAGCGGUGAAAUGCAUAGAUAUUACUUAGAACACCAAUUGCGAAGGCAGGUUACCAAGAUAUAACUGACGCUGAGGGACGAAAGCGUGGGUAGCGAACAGGAUUAGAUACCCCCGUAGUCCCUGUCUCUUAUAA
rnacentral:rRNA from 1 species